rnacentral:rRNA from 1 species
AUUGAACGCUGGCGGCAGGCCUAACACAUGCAAGUCGAACGAGUGGCGGACGGGUGAGUAAUGUCUGGGAAACUGCCCGAUGGAGGGGGAGAACUACUGGAAACGGUAGCUAAUACCGCAUACCAUCUGAUGUGCCCAGAUGGGAUUAGCUUGUAGGUGGGGUAACGGCUCACCUCGGCGACGAUCCCUAGCUGGUCUGAGAGGAUGACCAGCCACACUGGAACUGGGCCACGGUCCAGAUUCCUACGGGAGGCAGCAGUGGGGAAUAUUGCACAAUGGGCGGAAGCCGGAUGCAGACAUGCCGCGUGUAUGAAGAAGGCCUUCGGGUUGUAAAGUACUUUCAGCGGGGAGGCGUUACCCGCAGAAGAAGCACCGGCUAACUCCGUGCCAGCCGCCGCGGUAAUAC